UAGAACGUCCUUGGAUGCUUCUAUCAAGCCAUGUUUUGAGCUUUUGAAACGAUUUCUUGAAAGUAAUGAGAAUAUUUUAGCUGCUCUUAGUCGUGCUCCUUUUUUAAUGUCCUUUAGUUUCAAUGCUACCGUGCGACCAAACCUUGACUUGUUGAAAAAGGAGGGAGUGACCGCUGAUAGGGUUGCAAAACUGCUAUUGUCGCAGCCAAGAUCUUUACAACAUAGUAAUGAUAGGAUGGUUUAUGCUGUCACUUAUCUUAAGCAACUGGGCAUCGAGCCAGACAAGACAAUGUAUAUACAUGCUCUUACAGUGAUUGCACGAAUGAGUGAAUCUGCUUGGAGGAAGAAAAUUGAUAUGUUUAAGAGUGUUGGGUGGACCGAAGAGGAGGUUUUAUGGGCUUUUAAGCGAUUCCCUUAUAUAUUAUUAACUUCAGAGGAGAAAAUCCGGAGCAUGAUGGAUUUCUUUCUGAAUAAGAUGAAGUUGGAACGGCAAACUAUAGUUGCCAAUCCUGCGCUUCUUAAAUACUCUUUUGGCAAUAGGAUUCUUCCGAGGUGCAAUGUUUUGGAGGUUUUGAAGUCAAAGAAGCUGAUUAAAGGAGACCCAAACAUUGCUACUUUAUUAAAAUUAAGCGAGAAGGAUUUCAUGGAGAGAUGUGUUACCAAGUAUGAGGAUAAAGUUCCUGGUUUACUGGAGAUGUAUGGAGGAAUUGACAAAGGAAAAAGAUGAUAAUGGAUAGCAAUGAAGGUAUUGUGUCAACUUGUUUUGAUUUAUAUUUCUCAAUCUAUUACUUGAAUACUGUGACUUCAUUUUCUUGUGAUUUUACAUAUUCUUUCUGUAAGUCAUCCAUUGGAGUUUGUUUUUACUAGCAUUUGUUCAUGUUGAAGAUCAUUUACCGUGUAAUUCUUAGAAUUUUCUGGGAAAUCUUAGUAAACACAACUGUCCUGAUAAAAUUAUGUGAUCGUAUAAUUCUUCCAUUGAUUUUCAGAGUAAAACUGAAUGGUCGAGUAUUUUCAUUUUUGGUAGAGAUUUUUGCUUUGGGAAUCUUAAUUUGAGCACUAAAACAUAAGUGCAGCUAUAUAAAACAUGCUCUUUGGUUGGUUCCCUCACUUGCUCAUAAGCUAAAAGGGUUCUGAUGCUUGUGUAAAUAAUUGUUUUUUAAAUUUCAUAUAAUGUUGUUCAAUGAUAGAACACGAUAGGAAAAGGAAAAAAACAAAAACUACCCUAAACUUCUUUAGACCUUGUAGCUCCAAUCCCUAUGAGCUCUGACCCGGAAAUAAGGUUAGGAGUUUGAAUGGUUAUUUUGCUAAGGUUCAAUAUAGAAGAGGGUGUUAGAUAUGAAAGAUUUAAGUCCUCUUAGUGUCAUCACCCCUGCAUAUAAAAUACCGGCUAUGGUGUUGACAAACUCAGGAAGGUUGUAUCAAUGGACUCGAACAAUGAGUUUGGUUAGGACUUGGGAGAAGCAUAUUUUAGAUUGUAGCAUGAAUGAAUGCAUGGAUUGCAAAUUGCCAUUUGGUACUAGUUUUUUCAUUAAGCUUGUUGUCGAGAAGCUUAGUAAUCUUAACAAACAUAUAUCAUUUGCAUGGUUGGGAUAUAGGAAUUUGGAUGGUGAAGCUUUCUUGUAAUCAAAGCAUACACUCUACUGGUUUUUUUUGUUGGUUCUUUUGCCAUUAUUUGGCAGAUAAUAAUCAAAUAACAAACCCUUGAUUUACCAAGUUGCGUGAUGGAAAAGAUAAAGAUGUAUAAGAACUAAAAGGGGGAAGACACUAAUUUUGUUUUUCAGUGGCGGUAGAGUAUAACUUCCCACAUGACCUCUUCUUCAUAUCUAUGGUGAAGAUGCACAUGUUUAUUUAACCGUAACAUAUGUUUGUCAUUUCUAAACUUCAAUGGACACAUGCAACAGUUGUUUAAACGUCCAGACUUGACACAGAUUGCAUUCUUAUUUAGAAACAAUGGAACAAGUAUUUCAACGGCCGUGUUAUAUUUCAGUUGAAAAACGAUCAAUGUUUGCUAUGGGGCUAAAUUUACAUUAACCAUCUAAUAAUGAAGGUGGAGGGCAACCUUUUGUUUUCUAUAGUUACAUGUGCGCAGUGCAUAAUGAAUUGAAGUUGUCAGCAGUGUUUUAAAUCCUAUUUUAGCAGCAAGCAGUGUUUUCUAUAGUUAUCUUGAGUAAUUGCAAUUUAAUUUCUGACUUAUUUAUACAGUGAUUUUUAAAUUCAUGUUUUUUCCUGAUUCAAAUACCAUAUUAUUCUCCUGAGAAUGUCUUAUCAUUAAAAAGGAUUGGCUCCCAUGUAGUUGCAGAUGUUGAAGCCAAAAAACUGAAGCUGUUUUGAUGUCGAACUCUGAUAUCCCACAAUUAAGAGCAAAAACAUUGCUGAAAACCUUUCCUGGUGGGCAAAAGGCUUGACAAGCACCAGCGUACGAUUUGCCGGACCUCCCAUCCUUCAAAUUAAGGACAGUUCAAAUUUGGCCCUUCAACUUUCAAGACUCCUUGUAGCUGGGACCUUGAUCGUGCUUCCAAGUCUUUUUAACCUUUGAAGACUACAUGAAGGUGCCCUUUAUGUUGUUGUUUUGCACUUGUUAUUCACCUUGUACAGAUAUUAUGUAAGAAUUGAGCUCUGUUGUUGCAUUUAACAAAAUUGAUUAAAAAUUUCAUCUAUUUCAAGCAUUAAAACGAACUAUAGAGGUAAAUAUUUCAAUUUUACCCAGGAUGUAUAGCAAGUUCAAAAAAAAAAAAAUCAGAUCAUAGAACUUACUGUGUAGAAAAUUUAAUAUUUCAGGAUGAAUAACAUUACUCAAAAAGUUAAUCUUUCCCUUAUUUACCAAUUGUAUCAACUAUCUGAUUACUCUCAUUUAUGCAGUAAUCCAUACGUGAACACAAAUUUCCAUAUCUGCAAUUUAGUUUAUUCUUUUUUGACAUUGACUUGGAUCAAAUGCAAGUGACUUGAUAAAUUGAUCCACAAUUUAGAUAUCAUUUUAAACUCGUCUGGGUCAAAAUUAACAAUUUUUUAUAAAAAAUUAUCUGUUUUUAUAAAAAAAAAAUAUAUAUUUAUCACGUUCUGAGCUCUUUCUUGAGCUUGACUUGUUUAUCUAAUCUAUAAACACGUUUAAUAGGAAUUUCAUGUGUUAUAAUAGCAACAAAUUCAAACUCAUUAUUCAAAUCUUCCAUAACCUCCUGCAUCAUAUUGGGUUUAGCUUGGUGGGACAGAGAUAAUGUUGGUUAAUUUGUUUCCUUACCUUCUCUUUAUAUUUCCUUUAUAGCAUUUUAUUUUACUUCUUGUGUAUAUAAGGGAGCAUACAAAGCAUUCGUUUGAUUGUUAAAAUGUCACUCAGAUAUUUAUUUUACCUUCAUGUCCAAUCAGCUCCAAUGAUCAUGUCUAAUAUUUUUUUUUCUUUUCUUUUUUAGGUCACACAAUCAUCUCAAGAUAAAAUAAUUGUAUUAAAAAUUUAGAAAUUCAUGGAUAUCCAAAGUGAAUAUGGAAAAGUUUGAAUAUGAAAAAGUGGGAGUAAUGAUAGUUUAAAAUAUAGGUAAGAGAACCAAUUUGAUAAUCAAUCAGGUUUAAGAAAUGAAUCGAAAGGUUAAAUGGAUUGACUUGUAGAUUGAUAUAUUAACUCAAAUUAUGAUUUAAAAAAACAAAAACAACAUCGUUUUGGUAAAAAAGAACUAAAAUCUAACCCGAGUCAAGUUUCAGAUUAUCAAGUCAACUCGUUAAGCCAAACUGAGUAUUAUAAGCAUGGUUUAAAAGCCUUAAAUGAACCCACUUAAACAAAAUAAAUAGGGUUUGCACUUAUAGAGGUGACUUGACAAAGAGAUAUCUUAAAUACAAAACUAUCCUAAAUUCCUUCAUGAUUAAUCUUGGCAACGUUUAACUUAGUGGAACAAAGGUAGUUUUUAUGGCUUGUUCCAAAUUAUAUUGCUUAAUUGUUGCUUGAAUCACAAUUUAAGGAUGCUAGAGGCACUGUCUUUGCUUGCUUACGACAAUUUCCCCAAACAUUAAAUUAUGAUUGGAUAUGACGUUAUCUGCUGUUGUUUUCAUGGCAUGUUUAGACCAAAAACGCCAUUGCUAAUAAAAUGUAGGUUCCAAUCAUUUUUCAACUACGACAAGUUUGUAGCAGAAAAAAAACAACAGAAAAAACUGAAGGAAAAAAACAUGAAAAAUAAAUUAUUGUAAGAAAAUCUAAAUUCCUUAUGUUAAUGGUAGGGAUGGCAAGUGUAACUACAUCCAUGGAGGUCCACCUUCAUUUACUCGAUCGAAAAUUAAGUGUGGAAGGAAGUUCGUUCUUAAGGUGAAGGUAGAGGCGAAUAAAAUACUGGCUUGGUUGGGUGAUCAUGUUUGGAAGUAUGGUUGUGGUUGUUUUUUAAAAUAAUUUUUAUUUAAAAAUGUAUUAAAAUGAUUUAAAAAACAAUUAUUUUUAAUAUCAGCAUAUCAAAAUGAUCAGAAAACAUCAAAAAUAUAUUAAUUUGAAGUAAAAAAAUAAAAAAAUUUAAUUUUUUUCAAAAAUAUUUUUAAAACGAAAAUAUAAACAGGUCUAUCUUUAUACUUGAAUUUACACAUAAAUAUAUUUUAUUUUAUUUUUACAAAUAAAUUUACGAUAGUUUAUGUAUUUCUAAAAUAUUAUUUUAAGUAAUUUUUUAAAUAAAUGUAAAAUAUUUUAUUUUUAAUGAUCCAUGCAUAUUAUUUAAUUGAAAUUUAUCAUAAAAAAUAUAUAUGUACUUGCCCGUCUUUUUUUUUUUUUUUUUUUAGUUUAACGUGGAUGUCCGGGUCAGCUUGCGCGCACCUCGACUAAUCCCACGGGCCCUGAAGUUAACGAUCAUGUAAGCCUCCAGUGGUCAUCAUAUAAGUAACCACAAGACUUGAACCUGAGACCACAGAGAAAGCAAACCUUUUGAUUCCAGGCUUUUACCAUUAGGUCACCAUCUAAAUCAGAGCUGGUGUGGACUGUGGAGUGCUACACUCUCAAAGAAGGAGGGUUGUUUUAUGGUGCUUUAUUGUUCAUUGAAUCACCUUAAUAUAUUUUUUAAAUUAUUUUAUAAUAAAUUAAUGUGUUAAUUAGCGUGUGUGACAACCGAAACGUCAUGAGUUCGAGCGCUGGGGGAGGUGCAUUUAUUUUUUGAAUUGUUAUAAAUGACCCGCUUAUCAUAUUUUUUUCAAAAAAAAUAUAGAGUGAAUGGAUAAAAAGAUAGAACAAGGACAUGUGUGUGUGACUAGCCUGCUGCUGGUGAGCCGGGUGUUGACCGUAGUCGUUCUUUUGUUUUUAUUUCUUUUUAUUUUUUUCAUUUACAUUCUAAAAAAUUUACUAGAUUUAUUUACUUUUUAUUUUUAAUAUGGUUUUUAUUUUUAAAUACUAGUAUAAUUCUUUAUUUGAAUUUUAAUAUUUUUUCUUAAUUGUUAUGUAUUUCAUAUGAAAAUAAUAAUAUUAUAAAUAAUAAAUUGUUUAUUAAAAAUUGAUUGAAAUGAGUUUACAUUAUAAAAAUGUUUAAAUAGAUUUUGAAGAUGAUUUCAUUACAUAUUACAUUUACGAUUUUUUUACAUUUUAAAAAUCAUAAAAUAUUUUUUAAAACAAAAACAAUGGUUUUAAUUAAAACUAUUACAUUGAGGAAGAUAAAUAAAAGACACGUUAAUAGAAAAACUUCUUUUAAAAAAAGGAAAUCCAAAACAAUUGUAUUUUGAAAUUUCAUGAUAAUGUCAAAAAAAAAAUUAUCUAUGUAUUUUUCAUGUUUAAAAAAAUUAAACUUUUCAUAAAUAACAUGAAUAUACAAACUAAUUUAACUUUGUACAAAUAAAAACUGACAUAAAAGUUAAAAACAUUAUUUGAAAGUAUGGUAAAUACUGUUUUUUAAAAUAUUUUUCACUUGAAAAUAUAUCAAAAUAAUAUUUUUUUAUUUUUAAUACUAACACAUAUCAUCAACAAACACUGAAAAAUAUUAAAUUAUUUUUCUUAAAAAUAAAAUAAAAAACAAGGUUUCAUUUCAAUUAUAAACCGAGCCAAAAUAUCUUCAUAGAUGCAAAAACUAGAGGGUGGCUGAGCCUCCUUCGACCUCCAUUGUAAUCCCUACUCAAUGGGUUUUAACUUAAAGGCUCUCUGUCCCCCCUCUCACUCCAGUUUCUCUCUGAAAAAAGGGGCCACCUGAAACAAGCCCAUCUGGGCCAGUCAAAUUUAGCAGACCGCCAGCCAGCCAGGGGAGAAACCCUAACGAAAACCCUUCUUCUUCUUCUUCUUCUUUUCCUGUCAUCAAUCUUUCAGCAUUUUGCUUCCCACUAAAAAUGAACACCAAUAUUAAUAGCAAUAUACCAUUGAGAAAUCUGCUUUCUCUGAUUCAAAAUCGUUUCCUGAAAACAUCAUCUACUACACGACCUCCCAAUGCCUCAACUUCUUUUACUGUUCAAUACCUCGUCAACUCAUGCGGCCUUCCUCUACAAUCUGCUCUUUCCGUCUCCAAAAAGUUCCAAAUCGAUGAGAAUAACCUUCAGAAGCCUCAAUCCGUCAUCCAGUUCUUGAAAUCUUACGAUUUUCAGGAUGCCCACGUUGCCAAAUUGAUCGAAAAGUGGCCUGCUGUCCUCCGUUCCAGAACAGAAGGUAAUCUCAAGCCUAAGUUUGACUUCUUCAUAAAAAAUGGCUUUGUGGGUCAGCUUCUGCCUCAGCUUGCCGUAUUGGAUCCGAGAAUUUUUAGAGCCUCCUUACAUGCUCAUAUCAAGCCAUGUUUUGAGCUUUUGAAACGUUUUCUUGAAAGUAAUGAGAAUAUUUUAGCUGCUCUUAGUCGUGCUCCUUUUUUAAUGUCCUUUAGUUUCAAUGCUACCGUGCGACCAAACCUUGACUUGUUGAAAAAGGAGGGAGUGACCGCUGAUAGGGUUGCAAAACUGCUGUUGUCGCAGCCAAGAUCUUUACAACAUAGUAAUAAUAGGAUGGUUUAUGCUGUCACUUAUCUUAAGCAACUGGGCAUC
rnacentral:lncRNA from 1 species